UCAUAAACUAAAUCUGAGCGGCAGAACAGCCCGUACAAUAGAAAAUGCACUUCAUGGCUGUGAGGAAGUAAACAGCCAUGAUAAAACCGAGAAUGGGGAAAGUAAACAUUUGUAAAAUUAAAUACCAGGGUUGAAUGAAUGACAAGUAUGGGCAUUGCUGGAUUACUCACUCGAAGAAUCUCAUGAGAACGUGGGGGAGGAAAUCACACACAAACAAGAAAGCUGAGUUGGGCUUGCAUCGAUUCAGCAGGUCUCCUAAAACUCCGACAGACUUCUAUAGAUGGACAGUGGAGAGCCGCAACACGAGCUGGCAUGGAAACACCAAUGCCCGGGAACAGGAAAGUACAGAAAGGGGUGGGGUACAGCCCAGUCCAUCACAGGCAAAGCCCUCCCCACCAUUCAGCACACUUACAAGAAGCAGUUCGACAAGAAAGCAGCAUCCAUUUUCAAGGAGUCCUAUCGUUCACCAAUGCUCUCUUCUCACUACUGCCGUCGGGCAGGAGGCACAGGAGCCUUGGGUCCCACACCACCAGGUUCAGGAACAGUUAUGAACGAGCAUGGAUGAAUUCACUCACCUCAACAAUGAACUUACUCCACAAACUCUGCAACUCAUGUUCUCAGUGUUUAUUUGCUUUCUUAUUAUUUGCAUGAUUGGUCUUCUUUGGCUUGUUGUUUGUCAGUCUUUGUCAUGUAUAGUUCUUCUUAAAUCCUAUUGUACUUUAUUUUCCUGUAAAUGUCUGCAAGCUAUGAAUCUCAAGGCAGGAUGUAGUGAUAUGUGUACUUAAUAAAUUUUCUUUGACCUUUGAACUUUCUGAAUUAAUGAACUCGUACCUUUCAGAUCAGUGACAUUGCUGUGCUGAGGGAAUGUCUGAGCUUUUCCCUGGAACCUCUAUUAACAAAACUCACACCGAUCUGCAGAGCGUUUUUGGCAAGCACAGAUGGUGUUAUUGGCGGGAAUGUCAGGAUUAUAGCAAUGCAGAAUACUGCAGAGUGUUAGAGUGGGGAGCCUUUCACGCUUGGGGUUUGUCUGGUAUUCA